rnacentral:rRNA from 1 species
CCUACGGGAGGCUGCAGUCGAGAGGCUUCGGCAAUGGGGGAAACCCUGACCGAGCGACGCCGCGUGAGGGAUGAAGGCCCUUGGGUUGUAAACCUCUUUUGUUCGGGAAGAAGUGCGAUCAGGUGAACAAUCUGGUCGUUUGACGGUACCGGACGAAUAAGCUCCGGCUAACUCCGUGCCAGCAGCCGCGGUAACACGGGGGGAGCAAGCGUUGUUCGGAAUCACUGGGCGUAAAGGGCGUGUAGGCGGUCCGGUUAGUGAGAUGUGAAAUCCCUCGGCUCACCCGAGGACCUGCAUCUCAAACUGCCUGACUCGAGUACGGGAGAGGAUGUGGGAAUUCCUGGUGUAGCGGUGAAAUGCGUAGAUAUCAGGAGGAACACCGGUGGCGAAAGCGCACAUCUGGCCCGAUACUGACGCUGAGGCGCGAAAGCUAGGGGAGC